GCGCUGGUGGUCUAACGGUAGAAUAUCUGCCUUCCAAGCAGAUGACCCGGGUUCAACUCCCGGCCGGCGCA
rnacentral:tRNA from 1 species